UACGGGGGGAGCAAGCGUUGUUCGGAUUUACUGGGCGUAAAGCGUGCGCAGGCGGUUUCUUAAGUCAGAUGUGAAAGCCCCGGGCUUAACCUGGGAACUGCGUUUGAAACUGGGAGACUUGAGUGUGGCAGAGGGGGGUGGAAUUCCACGUGUAGCAGUGAAAUGCGUAGAGAUGUGGAGGAACACCGAUGGCGAAGGCAGCCCCCUGGGCUGAGAUUGACGCUCAGGCACGAAAGCGUGGGGAGCAAACAGG
rnacentral:rRNA from 1 species